rnacentral:lncRNA from 1 species
GAAGUUUUGAAAAUGAGAAAAAAAAAUCCUUUAGGAAAAAAACUCCCUUAUGAAGUGAUAGAAAUUAAUUUGAAAAGGUGUUUCAAAAUAUUCUGAAAGGUUUUAUCUACGUACAACUCUUCAAAUAAGUAACAGGUCUAAAGUGUCCCUUUUGUGCUGGAUCUGGAAUUUGGGAAAAUCCUUUAAUUCUUUUAAUGCUAAGGAUAUUAAAGUGAAGGGUUCUGAGGAUCUUCAGACUAUUUAUUUCACUAUUUGCUAUAGAUUUUGUCAUUCCUUCAUCAUUAAUUGCAUUUAAAUAAUCUGAGUUUCAUAUUUACGUUUUUCUGUAUUUAUUUUUACCAGGUUUUACAUUUUUGGUGAUUGCCUCCUGGGUUAGAAGAUUGCAUAGAUUACCUGUUCCAACUUUAGUCUACAUCCAAAUUAAUGUCACAUCUGUAACAAAAUAGUAUGUUCUCCUAUUGUCAAACACAGUAGGGCCAAGGUUGGCAAAUUAGUUAGUAUUAGCAUAUAGACCUUCUGGCAGGGAAGGAAAGCUUUCUAGUUGGAGCUGGGCAUUCAGCUCGGUUUGUCAACGCAAAGCUGCCACUGACCUCAUUAUCUCAUUUGUCUUAGUUAGACUAAAUUGGCAGUUAUGUCUUCAUUGCAAAUGUUUGUUUUUACAAAUGAGCAAUAGAGCAGUGAGUAGAAGACAUAACAUGAGGACUUUUUUCCUGAAAUUUAAUUGCAGAAUGCUAUAGCUGGUGACUGACUUCUCUGACUUUAAUCCCCAGGGAGUUUAGAAAGCUAUCCUUCCUUUGCCUGACUCAGGAAAUGUAGUGUAAAGUUAUGGAAAGUGAUGUUAUGAAACUAAUGUUAAAUGCAUUUCUCUUCUCUCUGUUUUGGAUUUUUUUUUUUACAUAGUGUCAACAUGUCUGCAAUGAAGUAUGUUGGAAGCCAUAACUAGAUCAACAAAAAAACAUUGGCACAGUCAUGACGAUUGUGUGUAUAUCGUAAAAUGCAUGCACAGCCUACAACAUACAGUUACCCUUUCCAAGCAGAGUAGCCUAACUAUAUUGCAGAAUCAGACUUUGGCUUGCAUAUUUCCACCGUGGAUCUGUUAGAUUUGUAGCUGCAAAGCUGGAAGAUCCAGAGGCCGGAAGGAUCCUACCCCAGGUUAGCCUUAAUGCCAGUUGACAAUAUACUGUUUUGAAGCUGAAAAGGUUCAACAUCCUGUGAAUGUUUAUUAUAAAUUUCUUACACAUUGCCAUGUUCUUCAUUGGCAUCCACAAAUGCCACAAAUUAUGAAAGACUCUAUCACAUUAAGGUGCAUUAGGUAUGCGAAAACAAUUUUUAAGUUCUUCAACAAGCAAAGAUAUCUGAUGAUUUUUUGAUGAAAAAAAUAAUAAUAAUAAUAAUAAUUGAGCUGAGG